CGACGGUGAGUAACACUAUCCAGCCUGCCGUCUACUCUUGGACAGCCUUCUGAAAGGAAGAUUAAUACAAGAUGGCAUCAUGAGUCCGCAUGUUCACAUGAUUAAAGGUAUUCCGGUAGACGAUGGGGAUGCGUUCCAUUAGAUAGUAGGCGGGGUAACGGCCCACCUAGUCUUCGAUGGAUAGGGGUUCUGAGAGGAAGGUCCCCCACAUUGGAACUGAGACACGGUCCAA
rnacentral:rRNA from 1 species